AUCUUCGGGGCGGGGUGAAAGUCCCCACCGGCGGUAGAGUCCGCGACCCACUUCAAAGGUGGCUGAACCGGUGCAAUUCCGGUACCGACAGUAUAGUCUGGAUGAGAGAAGAA
rnacentral:ncRNA from 1 species